AUGAGCUUCGGCGGCGCCAGCUCCGUUGCGGCCGGUGGGAAGCGGCCGUUCGAGUACGGGAGGACGCAUGUGGUGAGGCCCAAGGGCGCGCACAAGGCCACCAUCGUCUGGCUCCACGGCCUCGGCGACAAUGGAGCCAGCUGGUCUCAACUGUUGGAAACUCUUCCCCUUCCUAAUAUAAAAUGGAUCUGCCCAACUGCACCUACGAGGCCUGUGGCAAUUUUUGGUGGAUUCCCAUCUACUGCAUGGUUUGAUGUUGCUGAUCUUUCAGAAGAUUCUCCUGAUGAUGUUGAGGGGCUGGAUUCCUCAGCUGCACAUGUAGCAAAUUUAUUGUCUACCGAACCUGCAGACAUCAAGCUUGGCGUUGGUGGCUUUAGUAUGGGUGCUGCUACUGCGCUUUACUCCGGUACUUGCUUUGCUCAUGGAAAAUAUGGAAAUGGCAAUCCAUACCCUGUGAACCUAAGUGUGGCUGUUGGUCUCAGUGGCUGGCUCCCGUGUGCCAGGUCAUUGAAGAACAAAAUUGAGAGCUCACAGGAGGCUGCACAGAAGGCUUCAUCAUUACCUCUUAUGCUUUGUCAUGGAAAAGCUGAUGAUGUGGUCCUCUACAAACAUGGAGAGAGAUCUGCUGAUGCACUUAAGUCAACCGGGUUUGCAAAUGUGGAAUUCAAGUCCUACAGCAGGUUUGCUACCUUCUUUAUUCCCCUUGAAUGUUGUGAUUUCCUUGUGCUGAUUGAUCUCCUCUCCUUGGAAGACUCGGGCACUAUACCGUUCCAGAGGAGAUGGACGAAGUUGUCAAGUGGCUUACAGCAAGCUUGGAACUCGGCAGUUCAUCGUCAACUUGAUUGA
rnacentral:rRNA from 1 species